rnacentral:rRNA from 1 species
GAAAAGAGAGUGCAAGAGAACGUGAAACCGUUAUAGUGGAAGCGGAUGGAGCCGACGUAUCCAGUGCGUAUUUAGCCACUGCCGGGUGCGAUUUGUUCGUUUUUGAAGUUCUGAAAGGUCUCCGCCGAAGAGCUGUUGUGUGCGGUGAGUGGUGCACUUGCGCACAGAGUGCGCCGAUUCGGUUGGGCCUGGCGUUCGAAGUGUGGGCAAGAGGACCGGUUCGCAAGGGCCGGAAACCUGGGCAUCGUGCGGGCGACGGAUGAGUCUGGCUGCAUUGCAUAAGGCGGGCCGAUUUUGAGCGGCUCGGGGAAGUUUCGCCGUUGUUGGGGUGUGGCGCAUGCGUUUCAUUUCGCAGCGAGUCUCUUUCUCUGGGCGUUUCUCGGCCGGUAUUCGGUGUCUAGUCGGUCACCCAUUUGACCCGUCUUGAAACACGGACCAAGGAGUUUAAGGUGUGCGCGAGUCAUUGGGUGGGAAACUCAAAGGCGGAAUGAAAGUGGGACACUUGGUGUCUGUGAUGCGAUCCGUGUGUGAUUCGUUGUGUGCGGAGCAGCAUCGACCCAUGACCAGAACUUGUUCUGUUGUGGAGUCUGAGCGUGGGCCUUGAGACCCGAAAGAUGGUGAACUAUGCCUGAGCAGGACGAAGUCAGAGGAAACUCUGAUGGAAGUCCGAAGCGGUUCUGACGUGCAAAUCGAUCGUCUGAUUUGGGUAUAGGGGCGCAAGACUAAUCGAACCAUC